GACGAACGCUGGCGGCGUGCUUAACACAUGCAAGUCGAACGGAAAGGCUCCAGCUUGCUGGAGUACUCGAGUGGCGAACGGGUGAGUAACACGUGGGUAAUCUGCCCUGCACUCUGGGAUAAGCCUGGGAAACUGGGUCUAAAACUGGAUAUGACCUUUCUCCUUAUGGGGUUUGGUGGAAAGUUUUUCGGUGUAGGAUGAGCCCGCGGCCUAUCAGCUUGUUGGUGGGGUGAUGGCCUACCAAGGCGACGACGGGUAGCCGGCCUGAGAGGGUGAUCGGCCACAUUGGGACUGAGAUACGGCCCAGACUCCUACGGGAGGCAGCAGUGGGGAAUAUUGCACAAUGGGCGGAAGCCUGAUGCAGCGACGCCGCGUGAGGGAUGACGGCCUUCGGGUUGUAAACCUCUUUCAGCAGGGACGAAGCGUAAGUGACGGUACCUGCAGAAGAAGCACCGGCUAACUAUGUG
rnacentral:rRNA from 1 species